GGCCUCCUGGUGCAUAACUGCAGGUUCUGCUCUUACACUGACUGUACAGCAAGAGGAGAAAAAGUGAAUCUACCCAAUAUACACUUAUGCCCAGGCCCUGUGCCUGGUCUGUAUUGUGAAUGGGAAGAUAUGG
rnacentral:snoRNA from 1 species